GAUGAACGCUGGCGGCGUGCCUAAUACAUGCAAGUCGAGCGAACAGACGAGGAGCUUGCUCCUCUGACGUUAGCGGCGGACGGGUGAGUAACACGUGGAUAACCUACCUAUAAGACUGGGAUAACUUCGGGAAACCGGAGCUAAUACCGGAUAAUAUAUUGAACCGCAUGGUUCAAUAGUGAAAGACGGUUUUGCUGUCACUUAUAGAUGGAUCCGCGCCGCAUUAGCUAGUUGGUAAGGUAACAGCUUACCAAGGCAACGAUGCGUAGCCGACCUGAGAGGGUGAUCGGCCACACUGGAGCUGGGACGCGGUCCAGACUCCUACGAGAGGCAGCAGAAGGGAAUCUUCCGCAAUGGGCGAAAGUCUGACGGAACAACGCCGCGUGAGUGAUGAAGGUCUUCGGAGCGUAAAACUCUGUUAUUAGGGAAGAACAAAUGUGUAAGUAACUAUGCACGUCUUGACGGUAACUAAUCAGAAAGCCACGGCUAACUACGUG
rnacentral:rRNA from 1 species